UCCGCAUAAGCCCACGGGUCGGCAUCGACCAGAGGGAAAAGGAGCAAUCCGCUUUGAGAUGGCCUCGCGUCCGAUUAGCUAGUUGGUGAGGUAACGGCCCACCAAGGCGACGAUCGGUAGCCGGACUGAGAGGUUGAACGGCCACAUUGGGACUGAGACACGGCCCAGACUCCUACGGGAGGCAGCAGUGGGGAAUAUUGCACAAUGGGGGAAACCCUGAUGCAGCGACGCCGCGUGGAGGAAGAAGGUCUUCGGAUUGUAAACUCCUGUUGUUGAGGAAGAUAAUGACGGUACUCAACAAGGAAGUGACGGCUAACUACGUGCCAGCAGCCGCGGUAAAACGUAGGUCACAAGCGUUGUCCGGAAUUACUGGGUGUAAAGGGAGCGCAGGCGGGAAGACAAGUUGGAAGUGAAAUCCAUGGGCUUAACCCAUGAACUGCUUUCAAAACUGUUUUUCUUGAGUAGUGCAGAGGUAGGCGGAAUUCCCGGUGUAGCGGUGGAAUGCGUAGAUAUCGGGAGGAACACCAGUGGCGAAGGCGGCCUACUGGGCACCAACUGACGCUGAGGCUCGAAAGUGUGGGUAGCAAACAGGAUUAGAUACCCUGGUAGUCCACACCGUAAACGAUGAUUACUAGGUGUUGGAGGAUUGACCCCUUCAGUGCCGCAGUUAACACAAUAAGUAAUCCACCUGGGGAGUACGACCGCAAGGUUGAAACUCAAAGGAAUUGACGGGGGCCCGCACAAGCAGUGGAGUAUGUGGUUUAAUUCGACGCAACGCGAAGAACCUUACCAAGUCUUGACAUCCUGUGACAGACGUAGAAAUACGUUCUUCCUUCGGGACACAGAGACAGGUGGUGCAUGGUUGUCGUCAGCUCGUGUCGUGAGAUGUUGGGUUAAGUCCCGCAACGAGCGCAACCCUUAUGGUCAGUUACUACGCAAGAGGACUCUGGCCAGACUGCCGUUGACAGAACGGAGGAAGGUGGGGAUGACGUCAAAUCAUCAUGCCCUUUAUGACUUGGGCUACACACGUACUACAAUGGCGUUAAACAAAGAGAAGCAAGACCGCGAGGUGGAGCAAAACUCAGAAACAACGUCCCAGUUCGGACUGCAGGCUGCAACUCGCCUGCACGAAGUCGGAAUUGCUAGUAAUCGUGGAUCAGCAUGCCACGGUGAAUACGUUCCCGGGCCUUGUACACACCGCCCGUCACACCAUGAGAGCCGGGGGGACCCGAAGUCGGUAGUCUAACCGCAAGGAGGACGCCGCCGAAGGUAAAACUGGUGAUUGGGGUGAAGUCGUAACAAGGU
rnacentral:rRNA from 1 species